rnacentral:rRNA from 1 species
UACGAAGGGGGCUAGCGUUGCUCGGAAUCACUGGGCGUAAAGGGUGCGUAGGCGGGUAUUUAAGUCAGGGGUGAAGUCCUGGAGCUCAACUCCAGAACUGCCUUUGAUACUGAGUAUCUUGAGUACGGGAGAGGUGAGUGGAACUGCGAGUGUAGAGGUGAAAUUCGUAGAUAUUCGCAAGAACACCAGUGGCGAAGGCGGCUCACUGGCCCGGAACUGACGCUGAGGUGCGAAAGCGUGGGGAGCAAACAGG